AGAUGUCCAUGUGUGGGGCUGAGCAGGUUGUGGGCACAGCAGAGGCAAGGGGGCUUGCAUAGGAGCCUAAGAAGCAGCCAGCAUGCCCUCGGAGGGGUCAGAUUGGGAGGAGGUCACGACAGGAGAGAGUUUUCAGUAGGGACUAAUCAGAGAGGACCAGUGCCACCCAGAAGUCCAGAAGGUGGCAGCUGGAAGGGAUUGUGAUUCUGCAUCAGCAUUUGGAAGAGCGGGAUAAGGAGGGACUGGGUGGAGAAGGGAAGCUGGAGGCGGGAAAAGUAGAGCUCUCCUUGGAGGUAGGCAUCUGAGAAGCACAAGCUGAGGGAAGACCCUGUCCUGGAGAGUCAGGGUCCUGGCAGAGACUUAACGAGAGGUGCUGUGCUAAGUCGAUUCGAGUGCGACUCGUCACGACCCUAUGGACUGUAGUCCGCCAAGCUCGUCUGUCCUUGGGAAUCUCCAGGCAAGAAUACUGGAAAGGGUAGCUGAUUCUCACUGCACUGACUAUUGUGCAAGGGAUCAGAAACCGGAGCCAAGAGGAGGUGGAGACAACAGCAAAAGCUCGUCAUGGAGAAGUUCAAUGACUCAGAUCAGAGAAAGAAGAGGCAUCAAGAAGCUUGCUUCUCGUCAGCUCACCUUCAUCCUCUGUUGACCCAGAUGAGAACCUGGGCUUGGAGCAGGACAGAAAGGAGCAGAAGCUUCUGUGCUGUGUGUGCCCCCUGGAUGUGACUCCCUCAGGUCAGAAGCUGAACAGCAUGUGAAAUCUGUUUCCUGUCCCUCACUGCCCAGCCCUGCCUGGGCUUCCAGCAAGUGGAAGUCACCCUUCCCCAUUGCCUCUCUUUCCCCCUCUUUGAAGUGAGGCAGACAAGGAAAAUGAGCAAGAGACAGCAAAAGAGAUUUCUUGACAUUUAACAUUUUUUCCUGGAGAUAUACAGGCAAGAAGAGGCAAAGGGGUCACCAGAGGCCACACCUCUGUGCCAUGCAGGAGACCCAGGUUCUAUCCCUAGGUCAGGAAGAUUCCCUGGAGAAAGAAAAGGAAACACGCUCCAGUAUUCUUACCUGGAAAAGUCCAUCCAUGGAGGAGCCUGGUAGGCUACAGGCCAUGCAGUCAUAAAGAGUUAGCUAUGCUUGAGUGACUAAGAACAGAGGCCAUACCCAUUUCUCUGGGUCUCAAACACUUGAAAAAUUGAGUCCCUGGGCACAGUAUGCGCCCCCCACCCUACCCCUUCCCAAAAGACAAGUAACUUUAAAGAAUGAAGUCAGAACUUAUUUAGCCCCAUUUAUUAUUUGAAUAAUAAUAAAUGAAUAGGUAAUACAGUCACAUGGUUCAAAAUUCAAAAUGUACAAAAGAUAUGUAGUAUCAAGUCUCCCUCCCAAGUCCCUACCUCCUGGUUCCUCUUCACAGAGGCAACCAGAGUUACCCGUGUCUUCUGAAUAUGCAUCUAUAAGAUAUGAAAAUAUGGAUUUAUGUGAUCCUCCCCCAUAAAACACAAAUGGAGGUGCCUGGUCCACAAUUCUGUGCAUUGCCUUGUUCUUUAGAAGAGUAAUUUGUAUAAAAAGAUAUAGUUUUAUAGCUGCGGAGUAUUGCUUUGUCAAGCUGUAUUAGAACUUACUUAACAAAUCU